GCGCCCUUACUGCUGGGUGGGCUGAGCGGCUCGCCUGCAAGCCCAGCUGAUCCGAGGCUCAGCCAUGUCAACUCCAGAUUCAAGCAGUCCUGGGCAGCCAGCUCCUUUUCCUUCUGCCCCACGGCCGCCACCACCAAUUCUACCCCCUCCAUUUAUGCCUCCUCCUGGGAUCCCACCACCAUUUCCACCCAUGGGAUUGCCCCCAAUGGGACCACGGCCACCUCCUAUGCCUCCUAUGCCCCCUGGCAUGAUGCCACCUCCCCCUAUGAUUCCACCUAUGCCUGGACCACCGCCCCUGGGUCAGGUAGUGCUGGUUCAUGUUUUUCUUUGCCUUUUGUU
rnacentral:lncRNA from 1 species